rnacentral:rRNA from 1 species
ACGAACCUCUGGUGUGCCAGUUGUUCCACCAGGAGCAUCGCUGGUUAGCUACGUUCGGAAGGGAUAACCGCUGAAAGCAUCUAAGCGGGAAGCCUGUUCCAAGAUGAGGUUUCUCACCACCUUGCGUGGUUAAGGCCCCCCACAGACCAUGGGGUUGAUAGGCCGGAACUGGAAGCGCAGCAAUGCGUGGAGGUGACCGGUACUAAUCGGCCGAGGACUUACACAC